rnacentral:lncRNA from 1 species
UGCAUUAUUUCUGAUUGUUCUAGAUAAAAAAUUGAAAAAAAAAUUAUUAUUAUUUAGUUCUAUAUUGAUUGGGCUUGAACAGUUAAAUUUAUAUUUUUAGAAGAAGCUCGUUUUUAUUCUUGAAUAGUUCUUGAUUUAUGCACGUGUUUUUAAUUUAACAUUUUUUUUAUUUUUUCUAGUUUGGUAAUUUAUCAAUUCAAUCUUGA